rnacentral:misc_RNA from 1 species
GGCAGAUUCCAAUCAAAGCAAUAAUCAGUUAUUACAAGAAACCCAACCAAGGGAAAGAAUUGAAAUUUUGGAACAAGAAAUGCACAAAUACCUAUAUUACAUUUUUAGGGUUACACGAAUGAAGCAUACACUUGCUUUCUUUCAAGAAGGUUCUAACCAUAAUCUUAGAAGAUCUUUUAUCAAACAAACUUUUAGAGUUUACUGAAUACCAAACUCAGAACCGUGUGCAGUUCUUGACUCAUUAAAUCCGACUAGCUGCAAAAAGAGAAUCUGACAGCGAAAUCUGAAACUAGAAUCUCUCUCCAAAACGGAAGAAUACUGCCCCAGUUCCAGAAUUGUGGUCAACAGCAUAUUCUGCUCGUACUAGACCUAGUUUUACUCCGACGCCAUAUGAGGAGCCAUGGCCCAUCCUUCUAUAGACCUCUGUUGGGUUUCCUUUGACAUCUUUCGAACUCCCGAGAUCAUUUCCAUGCUCUGCAAAU